rnacentral:pre_miRNA from 1 species
UCUUACAAAUAAGCAAAAAAAGUAGUUUCUUGAGAUGGAAUCUAUUUCUGGUGAAGUUGCUGUGAA